rnacentral:rRNA from 1 species
GUCUUUGGUGGUGGGGGAGUAGCCGGGCUAACGCCCGGGUAAUACCGCAUACGGUUGCCGAGGGGAGUCCCUUGGCAAAGAAACCUCCGGGGCACAGAGAGGGGCUCGCGGCCUAUCAGCUAGUUGGCGGGGUAAUGGCCCACCAAGGCGACGACGGGUAGCUGGUCUGAGAGGAUGGCCAGCCACAUUGGGACUGAGAUACGGCCCAG